rnacentral:misc_RNA from 1 species
GAAGUAAAAGUCGUAACAAGGUUUCCGUAGGUGAACCUGCGGAAGGAUCAUUAUUGAAUAAACUUGGUAGUGGCUGAUUGCUGGCUCUUAGGAGUAUGUGCACGCCCUAUCAUCUUUACUUCUCCACCUGUGCACUCUCUGUAGAUUUCUUUUAGUUGUUAAGAGGACCUGCCGAUGCGCAAGCCGGCUUUCCUUGUAUUGCUCCAAACAGCAAGCAACGUUUCAUAUAAAAGAGUCUAUGUUAUUUAAACCCUAUUGUAUAAUAACAGAAUGUGUCUUAAUGGGCAAAGUUGCCUAUAAAAAGCAAAAAUACAACUUUCAGCAACGGAUCUCUUGGCUCUCGCAUCGAUGAAGAACGCAGCGAAAUGCGAUAAGUAAUGUGAAUUGCAGAAUUCAGUGAAUCAUCGAAUCUUUGAACGCACCUUGCGCUCCUUGGUAUUCCGAGGAGCAUGCCUGUUUGAGUGUCAUUAAAUUCUCAUCCCCCCUUUGAAUUAAUUUUCUAAAGUGGGCUUGGAUUUUGGGGGUUUGCAGGUUGUUUAGACAGUCUGCUCUCCUUAAAAACAUUAGCGGAACCUUAUCUGUAGUCCGUUUUAUAGUGUGAUAAUUAUCUACGCUAUACAUGUGUAUUACAUCUUGUUCAGCUUCAAACAGUCCAUUGACUUGGACAAUCUCUUGACUAUUUGACCUCAAAUCAGGUAG